AUAAAAACGUAGAACUGUCAUUACACGAGAGUGCCCAGGCCCCAUAGAAAAAAUAAAAUAUUAUAUAUUUAUAUAUAAAUAAUAAAAAAACUUAUUUUACUUACUCUAGCCAGGCCCCAUAUAGUUUUAGAAAAGUACAUGCCCGGCCGUGAUAGAUAAAGAGUUGUUACGGUAAAUCAUGGAUGUAUUUUUAUUGAAUAUACCUAUUUGUUAUUAACAACACAGAAUAUUUGUCGAUCACUUGGCUCGUGAUAUGGCUCGACAUCGCGACAUAAGAAAUCUAGACUAUGAAGACGAAUAUGAUGGAUACGAUGAUGUCUAUGGCCAUUCUGUGGAUGAUGACUACUAUAUUUCCCCCAGCAAUAGACAGUUCAUUUACAACAGGGAAACAUCAAGAGAUUCCCGCUUUGAACAUGCGGAUGAUAUUCAAGAAGUGGACGAAGUAGAUGAACUAACCGACAUCCAGAAGGCCAAACUGAAUUCAUGUAUGCAUGAAAUUAAGAACACUUUAGGCACUGUUACCAUUUCAAAAGCCAAUCUGGUGGGACUAAUAUUGAAAUACCAGUUCAAUAUUGAACUGGUUGUAAAUGCGAUUUUGGAAGAUCCGCAGUUUGAAACGAAUGAUGAAACUAUAAAGAACAGAGGGGCUUCGCUUACUCGACCGUCCGUGGUUGAUCCAGUACCAACGUUCGUAGGCAAAGUGGUAACUUCAACAACCACCAACGUAGUCAAAGGCUUUAAUCUGCCAUCCAGAGAUGCGAAAUUGCCCCCAAAAGUGCUUGAAUUAACAAAUAAGGAUCUUACCCACAGAGUCAAUAGCACCCCUAACGCUCAAAGCCCUUCGUCAGGCAGAGGUCAAAGUCCGGCUUCUGAUAGGGUCACACCGGAGUGCUCUGAAGGAGAAGAAAAAGUUGGAAGACCGGAUCUUAAAGUAGAUGCAGAAGCUGUGUAUAAAAAGGAACGGGGCCUUGGCAAAGAACACCUCUAUAUGGUUGUUAUUGGUCAUGUCGACGCUGGUAAAAGUACUUUAAUGGGGCGGUUGCUCUGCGAACUGGGACAAGUAAACAAGAAAACGAUGCACAAGUAUGAGCAGGAGAGCAAAAAGGUGGGAAAACAAAGUUUUAUGUAUGCGUGGGUACUGGAUGAAGCAGGCGAGGAAAGGAACAGGGGCAUUACUAUGGAUGUUGGCAGGCAUUCAUUUGAGACAAAAAAUAAAGAGAUUACUAUUUUGGAUGCUCCAGGCCACAAGGACUUCAUUCCCAACAUGAUUUCGGGUGCCGCACAGGCUGAUGUCGGUUUGCUAGUUGUGGACGCCACCAAGGGGGAAUUCGAAACGGGCUUUGAUUUAGGCGGUCAAACUAGGGAGCAUGCCCUCCUGGUUAAGUCUUUAGGUGUUAAUCAACUUACCGUUGUUAUUAAUAAACUAGACACAGUGUCCUGGUCGAAAGAUCGGUUUGAUGAGAUUGUACAAAAACUAAAGUCAUUCCUUCGACAAGCAGGUUUUAAAGAGAACAAUGUCAAUUUUGUGCCUUGCAGCGGGCUGACUGGCCAGAAUUUAAUUCAACCUCCAACCGAAAACGAAAUACUGGAGUGGUACGACGGACCAUGCUUGAUUGAGGCCAUCGAUAAAUUUACAUCACCGGCGAGGCCCGUGAUCAAGCCAUUCCGGUUCUCAGUAAACGAUAUUUUUAAAGGUACAGGAUCGGGAUUUUGUGUUGAGGGUCGAAUAGAGACGGGGCUGAUUAAUAUCGGAGACAAAGUGAUGAUCUGUCCCAGUAAAGAUCAAUCUGCCGUCAAGACCAUAAUGAUCGAUGACGCUUCUAAAAGAAUAGCUUUCGCAGGAGACCAAGCUACGCUGACGCUUUCAGGUUUGGAAAUCCAGAAUGUCUCCAUCGGUAACAUACUGUGCGAUGUGCAUUAUCCUAUUCCGGUGUCCAAUAAAUUCGAAGCCAGAAUCCUAGUGUUCAGCGUUGCAAUUCCCAUUACAAAAGGUUAUUCGGUCAUUCUACAUCAUCAAUCCUUGGCUGAGCAAGCUGUGAUAACUAAACUUAUUUCCCAACUGAACAAAAGUUCCGGCGAGGUGGAGAAAAAACAUCCACGGUAUUUGCGAAAGAAUUCCAACGCCAUAGUGGAGAUUACAGUCUCAAAGCCUAUCGCUUUGGAAUUGUUCAGCGAGUGCAAGGAAUUAGGUCGAGUGAUGUUACGAGUGGCAGGAACGACGAUUGCCGCAGGACUGAUUACUAGGAUUAUUUCUGCAAAUUAAGGUGUGAAAGAUAAUUUGAAUUGUUUUGUUGUUUCGUCAGAAUGUCACCCAGAAUUUUUUUUUAUAAGAUUUAAGUGCCGUUUACCCAACAAACUAAAGUAAAGUGCACAUCUGGACUACUCUGCAGCUCCAUCGUCUACACUUUUUAUUCAGAGGAUUGCUUGUCUUGGUUGAUCGUAUAAGCUAACCAGCAGGCCAACGCAAUGCCCACCACCUAUCAACGAAUUUUUCCAUCAUGUUCGGGCAAACGAUUAGUCUUGUAUAAUACAGGCUGUAUCAAUUAAUGUUAAAUAGAACAGAACAUAAACAUGUCAAGGUCUGGUUCAGUUAGAAA
rnacentral:misc_RNA from 1 species